rnacentral:rRNA from 1 species
UACGGAGGGUGCAAGCGUUAUCCGGAUUCACUGGGUUUAAAGGGUGCGUAGGUGGGGCUGUAAGUCAGUGGUGAAAUCUCCAAGCUUAACUUGGAAACUGCCGUUGAUACUAUAGCUCUUGAAUGUUGUGGAGGUGAGCGGAAUAUGUCAUGUAGCGGUGAAAUGCUUAGAUAUGACAUAGAACACCAAUUGCGAAGGCAGCUCACUACACAAAUAUUGACACUGAGGCACGAAAGCGUGGGGAUCAAACAGG